rnacentral:rRNA from 1 species
AGCUCUGUAAGCGUAUAUCAAAGUUGUUGCAGUUAAAACGCUCGUAGUCGAAUCUUGGCUGAACUUACGCUGAGUCCGCAAGGAUUCUGCGGUUGAGGAAAGCCUUUGUGGAUUGUGUGCGCGGAGGUGUUUUAUUACACUUCCGUUGUACUGCCACCGUUUACUGUGAAAAAAUUAGAGUGUUCAAAGCAAGCGAUUUGCCCUGAAUACAUUAGCAUGGAAUAAUAGAAUAGGACCUGGUCUUAUUUUGUUGGUUUGUAUAAUUUCAGGUAAUGAUUAACAGGGACGGUUGGGGGCAUUUGUAUUCCGAGGCGAGAGGUGAAAUUCUUAGACCCUCGGAAGACAAACAGCUGCGAAAGGGUUUGCCAAGGACGUUUUCAUUGAUCAAGAACGAAAGUAC